rnacentral:rRNA from 1 species
GACGAACGCUGGCGGCGUGCUUAACACAUGCAAGUCGAACGGAAAGGCCCUGCUUUUGUGGGGUGCUCGAGUGGCGAACGGGUGAGUAACACGUGAGUAACCUGCCCUUGACUUUGGGAUAACUUCAGGAGACUGGGGCUAAUACCGGAUAUGAGCUCCUGCUGCAUGGUGGGGGUUGGAAAGUUUCGGCGGUUGGGGAUGGACUCGCGGCUUAUCAGCUUGUUGGUGGGGUAGUGGCUUACCAAGGCUUUGACGGGUAGCCGGCCUGAGAGGGUGACCGGCCACAUUGGGACUGCGAGACGGCCCAGACUCCUACGGGAGGCAGCAGUGGGGAAUAUUGCACAAUGGGCGGAAGCCUGAUGCAGCAACGCCGCGAGCGGGAUGCCGGCCUUCGGGUUAUAAACCGCUUUCGCCUGUGACGAAGCGUGAGUGACGGUAAUGGGUAAAGAAGCACCGGCUAACUACGUG